GACGAACGCUGGCGGCGUGCUUAACACAUGCAAGUCGAACGGAAAGGCCCUGCUUUUGUGGGGUUCUCGAGUGGCGAACGGGUGAGUAACACGUGAGUAACCUGCCCUUGACUUUGGGAUAACUUCAUGAAACUGGGGCUAAUACCGGAUAGGAGCUCCUGCUGCAUGGUGGGGGUUGGAAAGUUUCGGCGGUUGGGGAUGGACUCGCGUCUUAUCAGCUUGUUGGUGGGGUAGUGGCUUACCAAGGCUUUGACGGGUAGCCGGACUGAGAGGGUGACCGGCCACAAUGGGACUGAGAUACGGCCCAGACUGCUACGGGAGGCAGGAGUGGGGAAUAGUGCAAAAUGGGCGGAAGCCUGAUGCAGCAACGCCGCGUGCGGGAUGACGGCCUUCGGGUUGUAAACCGCUUUCGCCUGUGACGAAGCGUGAGUGACGGUAAUGGGUAAAGAAGCACCGGCUAACUACGUG
rnacentral:rRNA from 1 species